GCCCAUCCACCCACCUCCUGGUGGUCGCCCGUCCCAUUGGCGCAUCUCGCCCCCGUUCGGCGGCGGCGGCGGCGUAGAUCCGGCGUGGCGUUGCGCCCCCGUUCCUCGCCCCUCGUCGCUCCGCAGCGCCCGCGCUCCCCAAGGCCGCAGCACGCGAGCGGCGCGGCCUUCGUUGGUUAUUGAAGAAACAACACUCCGCCGUUCUGAAGAAAUGAGUGCGUGUAAGAAGGCCAGGGCGGAAGCUACAUAUGUUGUGAGUUCAGACAGACUUAGCAGUCUACCUCCAGAGUUAAAGGGCGACAUCCUUUCCCGUCUGAAUGUCGAAGAAGCGGUUAAGACUAGCACCUUAUCAAGUACUUGGAGGGAUGCAUGGACUAAUAUGCCAAAAAUAUUUCUGCGCGAUGGAAAUUUUGCAAGAACCAAGUUCGUCACAUUAGUUGAUAUGGUGCUAUCACUCCACAACGGAACUGUAGAUAUGUUUGACAUUUCAGGUAGCAAAACUUACCAUGAUGAGUUCGGUAGGUGGAUGCGCAUGCUUUCUAGGAGAUCACCAAGAUCAGUUACAAUCAGGUUGAACUCAGGGCCAGGGUAUAGGAUUCCUUCAUGUCUAUUUUCUAUCGGCGAUUUGAGGGUUCUGCACCUGCAAAACUGCGUCAUCAGCUUGCCCCGGGUAUUCCAAGGUUUCAAGAGAUUAACUCACCUGGACAUGAAAAAUUUCUCCUCCACAGACAUGGACAUCCAAAAUCUGGUCUCCUUCUGCCCCGUACUGAGUUGUUUGAAACUAGCUUCUUUUGAGGGCAUCAACUAUCUAAACGUUCAAGCUCCUAAACUGAAACGUCUUCAUGUUUUUGGGGACUUUGAAGACAUUAAUUUAGAUGCCCCUAAUUUGGAGGUGGCCAUUCUCUCUCUUGCUCAUGAAGCUAAAGCACAUCAAUCUGUUCCAAUUGCGCAUGACAUGGAAAGCCAUGUCAAGAAGUCAUUGGGAGACCUAAGUGGCAUCAAAACACUUGGAAUUAGUGGCAUUUUCAUGAAGUAUAUAUCAAAAUGGUGCAUACUUACAAAGUUCCCUGCCGUAUUUCAUCGCCUCGAGCAUAUUUAUCUUGUGAUAUGCUUUUGGGACCAGAGGCAAGUCUUGGCCACUUGUUCGCUGUUUCAGAAUGCCCCUAACUUAAAGAAGCUUGACAUGUGGGAUCACUCUUCGAGCGCAUUGGAUCAGGAUCAGGCGAGCAUUCAAGAGCUUACCAUGCAAGUGCAACUGGAUCAUCUCGUAACAGCCAGUGUGAAAGAUUUCAGGGGCCUGGACUGCGAAGUCAAUUUCCUGGCAAAGCUACUGAGUUGGGCGCCGGCUCUGGAAGAAGUGAAGAUAGAAUGGACGGGCAAAACAGAGUGCAGCAUGGUUCUUGCCAAGCUAUUAGCUCUGCCAAGGGUGUCUCCCAGGGCCAAGGUCAUUGUUACUUUUUUAUAAGCAUGCAUCCCUGCAGUCUACAGAGCAUCCCCCAUCACUUUGCCGGUUUAAUUUGCAGCCAAGUAGAACUAUUUCAGCUUUUUUUAUGCCAAGACUAGAUGGUGGUUAUAUAUGUGUGCAUUUGACACAAUUCAUCAGGCAGAGGGAGUACUUAAUGUGCUACUAUUAGCAAAUGUUUUCCUUUCUUGAGCCGGAGACACACAAGCCGCUGCUGCCCUUCCUCAACUGUGCCAGUUCAGCUAGUCCUUUUUUGUCCCUUUGUUCUGCGUAUCGUAAAUUCCUGCUUAUAGCAAAUGAGACAAAUAUAUCUUUCCAAUUCCGGGGUGCUCCGCAUUGCGUGUACCAAUUCAUGAAACCCCCCAGCCCCUGAAAAUUGAAUGUCCAUUGGUAGUCCAAUUCAUGAGUAUUCAGUAUUUGCCGAAAGAUUAUGUGCGUAUUUUUUUGAGGGGUUUAUUUUUUUUGAGGAGUUUAUGUGCGUAUAUCUUUUAGGAGAUUAUGUGCGAUAUAUGGUAUAUAACAUGAGAAAAAGGAAAAGCGGCCGCUAUUUAUUCAGCAUUCAGCCCAAUAUAACCCACCUACCCUGACACCACAUGGCCGAGUGGCCCAAUGUGUCCCCAGGGUUUCCAAGCGCGGCGGCUCAAGCAUCCGGCGUGGCGUCACGGCGGCAUCUGCGCUCCGGCUCGGUCUGCAGGCCGUGUUGGGCAGCGCCCGCCCGCAAGCCCAAGCCUGCAACUCCAUAGCGUCGCCUUCCCGUUCUUUGUCGCUCCUGCAGCAACUCCGUAUGCUCGGUUUGCUGCCAGUUUAUAGUAUUACUGUAACUGCAUAACCUGAUAUGGUUAAGUUCAUGAGCCCCGUGAGGAUUAAUUAAUGACUAGCAACCGAGGCUUGUUUCGAUUCUAGUUGAUCUUACUGCUGUUCACAUACUUGUUUAGAUUCAGUUGCUUAACUGAAUCCAGUUUAGUACUACUCUGUUACCUACUCCCUUAGUCCUGAAUUACUUGUCUUAUACGGAUGCCGUAUCUAAACACGUUUUAGUAUUUUUUAUUCUCUAGCACUGCAGUGCUAAUUUCUCAGAAUUAACAUUUUCCUAACUAGCACGUUGAUUUGGCACACAUAAAGUUUGUUAACUGUCGGUUGAAAUCUAAUCUUGUAAUUAUUAUUGCCACACAUAAUCGUUGAUUCAACUAGUGGCAUGAUUUUAAGCUAGUACAUGUCAAUCAUGCUUAUAGUUAAUGUUGGAAUAAUCAAGCUUUUCAGUUCACCAACUCCAGUAGUUGAGUUCAGUUCUGUGAAUGGAAACACACUAGACUUGUCUCCCUAAACUCCCAUCUCUCAGUUGUAGUUUAUUUUGUUUUUCUAUGAACAAGCAACUUAGCAAACCAUUUACUUUUUGCAUGUAUUGUAUUUUCAGUAAUAUGUGGUAGAAUCGAUGUUUUGGAAAUGAAUUAAUUCCAUUUUUACCCCCAUGAUUCACCAUUUUGACAGAUUUUACCCAUUUUUGAGAAAAUCCUCAAUUUAUACCCCCAUUUAUCACCUUUGUGGCACAUUUUACCCCCUUGUGACAGAAUUGACCCCCAAUUUGUUGCUGAUUUGACAUGCCACGUAGGCGGUUCAGUACCGUCAUGCUACGAUUGCCAAUACCAUUAUGCUCGCUCAGGUUAAGUACUUCAUUAAAUCACCACGUGCAAUCCAGGGCAGGUUGCUUGUAGCAGCAAUACCCUUAAUAGUAUCCCAUGUUUUGUACCUUUCUGGAAUUUGUUCCUCACCAUAAACAAGAGUUACACACCACAGUUCAGGACCAACACCAUCUAUCUUAGCAUCUAUGUGAUACUGGGAAUAACUUAAAACUUCGAGCUUUAUUAGAUUGUUCCAAAAGAGACCAAGUCCACCACUCCUACCAGAGCUACUAACUGCAAAACUACAAUGAAAAUCCAAAGAAGGCUGGCUAUUCAAGCAUUCAGUCAGACUAGCCUACCACGCCUCCCUACUCAUACAUGGCCCAGUGGCCCAGUCUCUCCUCAAGCCCAAUUCUGAAGCCACUACGAAAUUGGAACCCUAUCCUUUAAAAGGAAAAAAGAGAGGAAAUUGGAACCCUAACCACGGCACGGCAGCAGGGCCCGGCCGGCGGCACUCCUGCGUACGCAUCCGGCCUGGCGUCGCGGCGACGUCCUCGCCCUUCUGUCCUCAGCGCUCCAUCUUGGCGGUAGGCCGUGCUUGGCGGUGUCCAAGGCCCCACCAGGCGAGCGGCGUCAUCUCCUCCCGUUAUUCAGCGCUCCUGCAGCAACUGAGCGCGAGCGUCGUUGAGCCACAUCGAACACCAAGAAGAGACAUUGGAUGAUAUGUGGUAGAAUCCUCGCUUAUUUAGGCACCCCGUCUUUUGGAAAUGCUACAACAGUUUUAUCUGGAUUCUGAAGCAAUGAGUACCUGCAAAAAGACCAGGGCAGAAGCUACAUCUGUUGUGAGUUCAGACAGACUGAGCAGUCUACCUCCAAAGAUAAAGGGCAACGUCCUCUCCCGUUUGGAUGUCAGAGAAGCGGUUGGCACUAGCACCUUAUCAAGUACUUGGAGGGAUGCAUGGACAGAUAUGCCAAAAAUAUCUUUGCGCGAUAGAAAUUUUAUGCGAACCAGGUUCGUUACGUUGGUCGAUAUGGUGCUAGCACUCCAAAAGGGAACCAUAGAAGAGUUUGAUAUAUCAGGUAAAAAAAGUUACCAUGAUGAGCUCGCUAGGUGGAUGCUCAUGCUGUCAAGGAGAUCACCAAGGUCAGUUACAAUCAAGUUGAACUCAGGACCAAGGUAUAAGAUUUCCUCAUGCCUCUUUUCUAUCGGUGAUUUGAAGUUUCUGCAACUGGAAAACUGCAUCAUCAGCUUGCCCCGGGCAUUCCAAGGCAUCAACCGACUAAACAUUCAAGCUCCUAAGCUAGAAUAUCUUAAUGUAUAUGGGGACUUUGAAGACAUUAAUUUGGAGGCCCCUAAUCUGAAGGUGGCCAUUCUCUAUCUAGGUCACCAAGCUAAACUAUAUCAGUCUGUUCCAAUUGGGUAUGAUAAGGAAAACCAUGUCAAGAAGUCAUUGGGAAGCCUAAGUGAGAUCAAGACACUUGGAAUUACUGGCAGUUUCAUGAAGUAUCUAUCAAAAGGGUGCAUACUCACGAAGCUCCCAGUUGUGUUUACUCGCCUUGAGGAUAUUUAUCUUACGAUAUGCUUUUGGGACCAGAGGCAAGUCUUGACCGCUUAUUCAUUAUUUCAGAAUGCUCCUAACUUGAAGAAGCUUGCGGUGUGGAGUUACGCUUCGAGCACAUGCGAUCAGGAUCAGGCGAGGAUUCUAGAGCAUACCCUGCAAAUGCAAAUGGACCAUCUCGUAAUGGCCUGUGUUGAAUGUUUCCGGGGUCUUGACUACGAAGUCGAUUUCGUGGCAAAGCUACCGAGUUGGGCACCUGAUCUUGAAGAAGUGAAGAUAGAAUGGAAGGGUCAAACAGAUUGCAGCAUUGUUCUUGCCAAGCUAUUAGCUCUGCCGAGGGUGUCUCCCAGGGCCAAGGUCAUUGUUACAUUUUGUUAAGAAUGCUCCCCCAUCGCUUUGCCGAUGUAAUUUGCUGCUGAGUUCAUGUGAAUGUACCAGCUACGGCUAGCUGGUGGUUAUAUGUGUGCAUCUAAUGCAAAUCAUCAGGUAGAGGUUGUGUGUGUUGUCGAGGACAUUGUGUGGGAGUAUUUAAUGUGCCACCAGCAUGUGUUUUCCAUAUGAAACAUUUGAGGAAGUUUUCCAUAUAAAACGCUAUCAUCUUGUGUUUUUGCAAGC
rnacentral:rRNA from 1 species